rnacentral:rRNA from 1 species
CAAUAGCGUAUAUUAAAGUUGUUGCAGUUAAAAAGCUCGUAGUUGGAUUUCUGGUGGGAGCGAUCGGUCUGGCGCUUAGCGCGAGUACUUGCAUCGUCUCCGGCCAUCCUUGGGGAGAGUCUGUCUGGCAUUAGGUUGUCGGGCAGAGGAUCCUCAUCGUUUACUGUGAAAAAAUUAGAGUGUUCAAAGCAGGCUUAUGCCGUUGAAUAUAUUAGCAUGGAAUAAUAAGAUAGGACUUUGGUACUACUUUGUUGGUUUGCGCACCAAAGUAAUGAUUAAUAGGGACAGUUGGGGGUAUUCGUAUUCCGUUGUCAGAGGUGAAAUUCUUGGAUUUACGGAAGACGAACUACUGCGAAAGCAUUUACCAAGGAUGUUUUCAUUAA